GGACUUCAGGGGGAGUAUGGUCACAAGGCUGAAACUUAAAGGAAUUGACGGAAGGGCACACCAGGAGUGGAGCCUGCGGCUUAAUUUGACUCAACACGGGAAAACUUACCAAGACCGAACAGUAGAAGGAAUGACAGAUUAAGAGUUCUUUCAUGAUUUAUUGGGUAGUGGUGCAUGGCCGUUCUUAGUUGGUGGAGUGAUUUGUCAGGUUAAUUCCGGUAACGAACGAGACUGAAACCUAUUAAUUAGUUUUCUGCCUAUAAGACAGAAAUGUUCGCAAGAACAGGUGCGUAAGUACCACUUCUUAAAGGGACACAUUUCAAUUGUCCUAUUUUAAUUGUAGUUAUCUAAUUUCGGUUAGACCUCUU
rnacentral:rRNA from 1 species